rnacentral:rRNA from 1 species
CCUACGGGAGGCAGCAGUAGGGAAUAUUGCUCAAUGGGGGAAACCCUGAAGCAGCAACGCCGCGUGGAGGAUGAAGGUUUUAGGAUUGUAAACUCCUUUUGUUAGAGAAGAUUAUGACGGUAUCUAACGAAUAAGCACCGGCUAACUCCGUGCCAGCAGCCGCGGUAAUACGGAGGGUGCAAGCGUUACUCGGAAUCACUGGGCGUAAAGAGUGCGUAGGCGGGGUAAUAAGUCAGAGGUGAAAUCCUGUGGCUUAACUACAGAACUGCAUUUGAAACUGUUACUCUGGAGUGUGGGAGGGGUAGGUGGAAUUCUUGGUGUAGGGGUAAAAUCCGUAGAGAUCAAGAAGAAUACUCAUUGCGAAGGCGACCUGCUGGAACAUUACUGACGCUGAUGCACGAAAGCGUGGGGAGCAAACAGGAUUAGAUACCCCAGUAGUC